rnacentral:rRNA from 1 species
GACGAACGCUGGCGGCGUGCUUAACACAUGCAAGUCGAACGAUGAAGAAGAGAAACGCGAACUUCGGUUCAAAUUUCACUUCGGAUUAGUGGCAGACGGUUGAGUAACGCGUGAGCAACCUACCUCUUACAAAGGGAUAGCCUCGGGAAACCGUGAUUAAUACCAUAUGACACAUUCAUAAGGCAUCUUAAGAAUGUUAAAGCUACGGCGGUAAGAGAUGGGCUCGCGUCCCAUUAGCUAGUUGGUGAGGUAACGGCCCACCAAGGCGACGAUGGGUAACCGGCCUGAGAGGGUGAACGGUCACAUUGGAACUGAGACACGGUCCAAACUCCUACGGGAGGCAGCAGUGGGGAAUAUUGCACAAUGGAGGGAACUCUGAUGCAGCGACGCCGCGUGAGCGAUGAAGGAAUUCGUUUCGUAAAGCUCUGUUCUAUGGGAAGAAAAGGACUGUACCAUAGGAGAAAGCCCCGGCUAAAUACGUG